CCUACGGGAGGCAGCAGUGAGGAAUAUUGGUCAAUGGGCGUGAGCCUGAACCAGCCAAGUAGCGUGAAGGAUGACUGCCCUACGGGUUGUAAACUUCUUUUAUAAAGGAAUAAAGUGAGGCACGUGUGCCUUUUUGUGUGUACUUUAUGAAUAAGGAUCGGCUAACUCCGUGCCAGCAGCCGCGGUAAUACGGAGGAUCCGAGCGUUAUCCGGAUUUAUUGGGUUUAAAGGGAGCGUAGAUGGGUUGUUACGUCAGUUGUGAAAGUUUGCGGCUCAACCGUAAAACUGCAAUUGAUACUGGCAGUCUUGAGUACAGGUGAGGUAGGCGGAAUUCGUGGUGUAGCGGUGAAAUGCUUAGAUAUCACGAAGAACUCCGAUUGCGAAGGCAGCUUACUA
rnacentral:rRNA from 1 species